AACGAACGCUGGCGGCAGGCUUAACACAUGCAAGUCGAGCGCCCCGCCAGGGGAGCGGCAGACGGGUGAGUAACGCGUGGGAACGUACCUUUUGGUUCGGAACAACUCCGGGAAACUGGAGCCUAUACCGGAUAAGCCCUAACGGGGAAAGAUUUCUCGCCGUAGGUUCGGCCCGCGUCUGAUUAGCUAGGUGGUGAGGUAACGGCUCGCCAAGGCGACGUUCAGUAGCUGGUCUGAGUGGCUGAUCAGCCACACUGGGACUGAGACACGGCCCAGACUCCUACGGGAGGCAGCAGUGGGGAAUAUUGGAGAAGGGGCGCAAGCCUGAUCCAGCCAUGCCGCGUGAGUGAUGAAGGCCGUAGGGAUGUAAAGCUCUUUUGGCCGGGAAGAGAAUGACGGUACCGGAAGAAUAAGCCCCGGCUAACUACGUG
rnacentral:rRNA from 1 species